rnacentral:rRNA from 1 species
CCCCGGGCUUAACCUGGGAACUGCAUUUGAUACUGGUAAGCUAGAGUACGGUAGAGGGGGGUAGAAUUCAUAGUGUAGCGGUGAAAUGCGUAGAUAUUAUGAGGAAUACCAGUGGCGAAGGCGGCCCCCUGGACCAAUACUGACGCUGAGGUACGAAAGCGUGGGUAGCGAGCAGGAUUAGAUACCCUGGUAGUCCACGCCGUAAACGAUGUCAACUAGCCGUUGGGACCUUGAGGUUUCAGUGGUGCAGCUAACGCGUGAAGCUGACCGCCUGGGGAGUACGGCCGCAAGGCUAAAACUCAAAUGAAUUGACGGGGGCCCGCACAAGCGGUGGAGCAUGUGGUUUAAUUCGAUGCAACGCGAAGAACCUUACCUACCCUUGACAUUGACAGAAUCCAGUAGAGAUACAGGAGUGCCUUCGGGCCUGGAAAACAGGUGCUGCAUGGCUGUCGUCAGCUCGUGUCGUGAGAUGUUGGGUUAAGUCCCGCAACGAGCGCAACCCUUGUCCUUAGUUGCCAGCACGUUAUGGUGGGAACUCUAAGGAGACUGCCGGUGAUAAACCGGAGGAAGGUGGGGAUGACGUCAAGUCAUCAUGGCCCUUAUGGGUAGGGCUACACACGUGCUACAAUGGCCAGUACAGAGGGCUGCAAACUUGCGAGAGUAAGCAAAUCCCACAAAGCUGGUCGUAGUCCGGAUUGGAGUCUGCAACUCGACUCCAUGAAGUUGGAAUCGCUAGUAAUCGUGAAUCAGAAUGUCACGGUGAAUACGUUCCCGGGCCUUGUACACACCGCCCGUCACACCAUGGGAGUGGGCUGCAAAAGAAGUGGGUAGUUUAACCUUCGGGAGAACGCUCACCACUUUGUGGUUCAUGACUGGGGUGAAGUCGUAACAAGGUA